rnacentral:tRNA from 1 species
GGGGGGUUGGCGCAAUGGUAGCGCGUAGGCUUCCGGUACACCAAAGCAGGUCUGCCUAAGGCUGUGGGUUCGAGUCCCAUGCUCCUCG